AAAUAUUGACUUUUUUGGCCAGUCCCCAUGAGGAUUUUCCUCAGUGGGAGAGGCUUGCUUUCCAUGUCUCCAAAACUAAAAUUUUUCUAAGGUGAUUUACAUGAAGACUUCCCAGUUAUUUUCAGCUCCUCCUAAUGUCUGCCAGGAAGUAAUACAAUUGACACAAUUACUCCUGGUUCCCUUGCUUGUUUGCUUACUAGUUUCUUUCAGAAGUGCUUAGGCUUUUCUUUUCAGAAACGUUGGCAAUGGCAGCGGUGGGAACAGUGUGCUGGAGGCACACCAGAGCUGCACUCCGUUUUCCCUCAGAGAGCUCCUGCUCCCCAGCCCAGGACCUUAAAGCCUGUCACUUCGCUUCCAGGGCUGAACAUGCCAUGGAUGGCUUUGUCCGAGAGCCUUGCGGCCAAGAACACAGAUUUACCUUGUUCCACAGGUUGGUGGAACACAUCUGGGCUUUGUAAGGAAAAGACUUCUGAAGCAUGAGGAGGAGGAGGCAGAGGAGGCACUCAAAUAAGUGGCCUUACUAGAUCCCACGCAGAUGAUAAACUAUAUUAUGGCCAUGGGAGGAUGAAGGGUGAAGUUGGAUAUGUUUGGCUCUGGAUAGGGGAGGUGGGCUGUUGAGAAGCAGUGCAGUAGGUUCCUGACAGAGGAGAAACGCUACAUGUCUAGUUGAGGGUAUGUCAUUCCACUCAGCUUGUGGGCAGAAGAGAAGUGCAAAGCAGAAAGCAGAGCUGGCUAAAACUAAGAUAAUUCUAAGAAGAUUAAAAAUAAUUUUUGGUAAUUAAUGGAUAAUUCAUGUUUAUCAGGAUUAUAAGAAAGAAGAAUAGCUUACAGCUGUAAAUUCAAGUACAUUUUUACUUUCUAAGCAUUUAAGUACUCACCGUAAUUGCAGCAAUGAAAUGCUGAAGGCUCUUCUUGGAUUAAACUUGCCUGCAAUUCAGAGGAUACUGCAAACACUUCUCCAGAUCACAUGGACCUAUAUUUGAAAACUUGGAUCAUAGAUGCCUACUAGUUUGGAUAUCGCAUUUCCAUCUGAUGGCCUUCAUGAAGUUUAUUACUAAACAUGGAAAAAAAUAAUUCUCCCUAUAUUUAAUUUCUAUCACCUCUGACAGCUUUCUAGUUUGUGUCUGUGUGUGCAACAUUUGUGGGCAAGUUUUUUGACACAAAAAUUCCUUUUGCAAGGCUAGCAUGGAUGUUUUUCCUAUAUUUCAUCUCCCUAUUUUUGAAGGAGUGAUUUUGAUGAUGAAGUAAUUGUAAUAAAGUAAAGCUUAUACUGAAACAAAUCUCAGAGCUACAUUAAUUUAGCCUAAUUAAAAUAAGAUUCUUGCAUCUUCUCAGCUAUACUUUCUUUAAAAGUCUAUGUAUCUCCGAGACACAUUGAGUGCCAAAACCACCAGACCAUAAAGCCAUUAGAUUUUACAGAGAAUUAUAUAGACCCUUG